AGGCAUCAUUGACCAAGGGGGUGGUUUCCGAGACAGCCUGGCAGAUAUGUCAGAAGAGCUGUGCCCUAGCUCAGCGGAUACCCCCGUGCCCCUGCCCUUCUUUGUACGCACAGCCAACCAGGGCAAUGGCACUGGUGAGGCUCGGGACAUGUAUGUGCCCAACCCCUCCUGCCAAGACUUUGCCAAGUAUGAAUGGAUCGGACAGCUGAUGGGGGCUGCCCUUCGGGGUAAGGAGUUCCUGGUGAGUAGCCUUAUCCACACCCCCAUCCGAUCAGCCCUGGCCCCUGGAAGGAAAGGCUGGCCAAACCUGGGCAGCUCAGGGUGAGAAGACAGUGGGGAGUGUUUGUCACACAGGUCCUGGCCCUGCCUGGUUUUGUGUGGAAGCAGCUUUCUGGUGAGGAGGUGAGCUGGAGCAAGGACUUCCCAGCUGUGGACUCUGUGCUGGUGAGUAGGACCUGGAACCAGUGUUUCCUCUGCCCAGCCCCUAAAGGUUGGUCCUCCCUAAGGCUGUUCUGUACCUUGUUCUUUCACCACACACAAGAUCCCUCUCCAAUCCGUCCACUCCCAUGGCUUCAACUACUGUCUGUAGACUC
rnacentral:sRNA from 1 species